rnacentral:rRNA from 1 species
CUAAGGCCAGCGAGAGAACUGUUGUUAAGGAACUCGGCAAAAUGACCCCGUAACUUAGGGAUAAGGGGUGCCGCCAUCAGGUGGCCGCAGAGAAUAGGCCCAAGCGACUGUUUACCAAAAACAUAGGUUUCUGCUAAGUCGCAAGACGAUGUAUAGGAGCUGACGCCUGCCCGGUGCUGGAAGGUUAAGGGGAUCUGUUA